AGUGAACGCUGGCGGUAGGCCUAACACAUGCCAGUCGAACGGCAGCACAGUAAGAGCUUGCUCUUACGGGUGGCGAGUGGCGGACGGGUGAGGAAUACAUCGGAAUCUACUUUUUCGUGGGGGAUAACGUAGGGAAACUUACGCUAAUACCGCAUACGACCUACGGGUGAAAGCAGGGGAUCUUCGGACCUUGCGCGAUUGAAUGAGCCGAUGUCGGAUUAGCUAGUUGGCGGGGUAAAGGCCCACCAAGGCGACGAUCCGUAGCUGGUCUGAGAGGAUGAUCAGCCACACUGGAACUGAGACACGGUCCAGACUCCUACGGGAGGCAGCAGUGGGGAAUAUUGGACAAUGGGCGCAAGCCUGAUCCAGCCAUACCGCGUGUGUGAAGAAGGCCUUCGGGUUGUAAAGCCCUUUUGUUGGGAAAGAAAAGCAGCAGGUUAAUACCCCGCUGUUCUGACGGUACCCAAAGAAUAAGCACCGGCUAACUUCGUG
rnacentral:rRNA from 1 species